ACGCGACCCCAGGUCAG
rnacentral:rRNA from 2 species